CCAAUUUGUUUAUGCAACAUAAAAUAAUAUAUAUUUUUGUUUAAUGCAUGUCAAUAUAUAUAUUUUAUUUUUUAUGUUAUUUAAACAACACAUUCAAAAACACCAAUAUUUAAAAAACAUAAAAAUAAAAUCAAAGUUUAAAGUAUAAAAAUAAAAACCCUGGCAAUAACCUACUCUCCCGCGA
rnacentral:misc_RNA from 1 species